GCCCUCAUUGGAACCACGCCUCUGUUCAAGGAACGUACUAGCCACAGGGAUUGUUGUUAGCGGGUUUGCUAGCAGGGACAGUUCUUCUUUGACAUUUCAAUUGGAAUAUGCACCCUCAAUCUCGAUACUGUUUAACUGGCGAAUCUUUGUCAUUUGACUGAGAAAAUCCAAAUUUGGUUCGACAAGUUGUUAUUGGUCUCAGUCAGUUGAGCUCUUUUGAGUAUGAGUAUACAAUGAAGCGGCGUGCGGAGGAUCAGGAACCAGUAUUUGCGUCCCAGCAGCAGCGUCGCCCCCCAGUCCCGGGUACUGUGGAGGGCUUCCAGCACCGCGUCCUAGCCCCAGCCGUGUACGAGGCCGUCACCGACAACAUGCAGCCUUCCCCCGGCAUCCAAUACUCCAUCCCCCAGGGUUACCAGGUUCCCACAAUGCCCCAGAACUCCAGUGGCCAUGGACAUGCCUCUAGUCCCGCUGCACUUGUCGGGCCCCACCCCCACAGUCCAGCUGUCCAAUCACAGGGGGCUGCGGUGGUCCAGAGCCAUGCCCAUCCUUUGGCCCCUAUGGCCCCCUCACAGGGUGCCCAGUUCCAGCGACUCAAGGUUGAAGAUGCUCUUUCCUACCUGGACCAAGUGAAACUGCAGUUUGGGAAUCAGCCUCAAGUCUACAACGACUUCCUUGACAUCAUGAAAGAGUUCAAGUCACAGAGCAUCGACACUCCGGGCGUGAUCAGCCGUGUCUCCCAGCUCUUCAAGGGCCACCCAGACCUCAUCAUGGGAUUCAACACCUUCCUGCCGCCCGGCUACAAGAUCGAGGUCCAGACCAACGAGCAGGUCAACGUGACCACGCCAGGUCAGAUCCACUACAUCACCCCGCACGGAAUUUCGGUCCAGAACCUCCCCGUUACGGGGCCACCCAGCCAGCCGGUGCCCCAUCAUCACCAGGCCCUGCAGCCGCCCAGUGGACCCCCCACCAGCACCGCCACAGCCAGCACCACUCUACCCACCCAGCCUACACCGGCCAAGACCAGCAAGCCGAUGCAGUCUCCUGCCCUGACCCCGACUAGCCAACCCAACCCGUCAAUCCCAUCCUACGCCUCCCCACGGUCCCCCUCUGUCCAGUCCCACGCCCCGGUGAGCAGCACCCCUUCCAGCGGGCCUCCCCUGCAGAACAACCAGCCCGUGGAGUUCAACCACGCCAUCAACUACGUCAACAAGAUCAAGAACCGCUUCCAGGGGCAGCCCGACAUCUACAAAGCCUUCUUGGAGAUCCUGCACACUUACCAGAAGGAGCAGCGAAACGCGAAGGAGGCGGGGGGCAACUACACCCCAGCAUUGACAGAGCAGGAGGUGUACGCUCAGGUGGCACGGCUCUUCAAGAACCAGGAGGACCUGCUCUCGGAGUUCGGCCAGUUCUUACCGGACGCCAACAGUUCAGUGCUGCUGAGCAAGACCACGGCCGACCGGGCAGAGUCGGUGCGCAACGACCACGGCACCACGGUCAAGAGGCCCCUGAUGAACAACAAGCAGCGGCUUAACCAGAACGGCUGUCCAAUCCGGAGGCAUUCUGGAGCGGGCGCCACGCCUCCCGUCAAGAAGAAACCCAAGAUGCUGGGGAAAGACCAUGCCAUGGCUGAGGCCAGCAAACAUAGCAUCGGCACAGAAUCUCUCUUCUUUGAAAAGGUGAGGAAAGCCCUCCGGAGCUCUGAGGCCUAUGACAACUUCCUGCGGUGUCUGCUCAUCUUUAACCAGGAAGUGAUUUCUCGUGCAGAGCUUGUGCAGCUAGUGCUACCGUUCCUGGGAAAAUUCCCAGAGCUGUUCUCCUGGUUCAAAAACUUCCUGGGCUACAGAGAGUCCAGCCACAUCGAGAGCUUUCCCAAGGAGAGGACCACAGAGGGCAUGGCCAUGGAGAUUGACUACGCUUCCUGUAAGAGGUUGGGCUCCAGCUACAGGGCGCUACCCAAGAGCUACACACAGCCCAAGUGUACAGGGAGGACCCCACUGUGUAAAGAGGUCCUAAAUGACACGUGGGUAUCGUUCCCUUCGUGGUCAGAGGAUUCCACCUUUGUCAGCUCCAAGAAGACCCAGUAUGAGGAGCAUAUUUACAGAUGUGAGGACGAGCGUUUCGAGCUGGACGUGGUGCUGGAGACCAACCUGGCCACCAUAAGAGCUCUGGAGGCGGUACAGAGGAGGCUGUCGCGCUUGACGGCCGAGGAGCAGGUCAAGUUCCGGCUGGACAACACCAUGGGCGGCUGCUCCGAGGUCAUCCACCGCAAGGCCAUCCAGAGGAUAUACGGCGACAAGGCCGCCGACAUCAUCGACGGGCUCAAGAGGAACCCGGCUGUGUCCGUCCCUAUAGUACUCAAGAGGUUAAAGAUGAAAGAAGAAGAAUGGAGGGAAGCCCAGAGAGGAUUCAACAAGAUCUGGAGGGAGCAGAAUGAGAAGUAUUACCUCAAGUCCCUCGACCACCAAGGUAUCAACUUCAAGCAGAAUGACACCAAGGUGUUCCGCUCAAAGACCUUGCUCAAUGAGAUUGAGACCAUAUACGAUGAGCGACAGGAACAGGCUUCCGAGGACACGACCACCGUGCCUGGCGGGCCCCACAUGACCCUGACCUACCAGGACAGCCAGAUCCUGGAGGACGCCGCAGCGCUCAUCAUCCACCACGUCAAGAGGCAGGCCGGCAUCCAGAAGGAGGACAAGUACAAGAUCAAACAGGUCAUUCACCACUUUAUCCCAGACAUGCUGUUCGCCCGGCGCGGGGAGCUGUCGGAUGUGGAGGAAGAGGAAGACGAGGAGGAGGAGGAGGAAGAAGACGAAACCGGGCCAGAUGAAGACGGGUCAAAGAAGCAUAACGGGUUGGCCGGCAGUGGCGGCUCCGCUAAGUCUAAGCUGCUUUUCGGCAACACGGGGGCGCAGAAACUGCGUGGCCUAGACGAAGUCUACAACCUCUACUACGUCAACAACAACUGGUACAUCUUCCAGCGCCUGCACCAGAUCCUCUGUUUGCGGUUGUUGCGCAUCUAUGGGCAGGCAGAGAGGCAGAUCGAGGAGGACUGCAGGGAACGGGAGUGGGAGAGGGAGGUGCUGGGCGUCAAACGGGAUAAGAGUGAGAAUCCUGCCGUCCAGCUGAGACUAAAGGAGCCCAUGGACAUUGAAGUGGAGGACUACUACUCUGCCUUCCUGGAGAUGGUGCGGAACCUCCUGGACGGUAACAUGGAGCCCACCCAGUACGAGGACUCCCUCAGGGAGAUGUUCACCAUCCACGCCUACACUGCCUUCACCAUGGACAAGCUCAUCCAGAGCAUUGUCAGACAGCUCCAGCACAUUGUGAGUGAUGAGCUCUGCGUGCGCGUGACAGACCUCUACCUGAGCCAGAGCACCAACAAGGCCACCGGCGGCGCCCUGUCCACCCAGGCCUCCAGAGCGACCGCCGAGGGGGGCAUACCAGCGCAAGGCGGAGCAGCUCAUGUCCGACGAAAACUGCUUCAAGCUGAUGUUUGUGAAGAGCCAAGGCAGCGUGACCCUGACCCUGGAGCUGCUUGACACGGAGGAGGAGAACUCAGACGAACCCGCUGAGACAGAGCGGUGGUGCGACUACGUGGGACGCUACCUGAACUCGGACUCAGCGUCUCCAGAGCUGCGCGAGCACCUGGCCCAAAAGCCUGUGUUCCUCCCCAGGAACCUCCGGCGGAUACGGAAGUGCCAGAGAGGGUGGGAGCAGCUGCAGCAGGCGAAGGCGGCUACGGGGACGUUGGAGAAGUCCCACAGCGCUGAGGACCUGAAGAUGGAGUGCAUGUUCAAACUCAACUCCUACAAGAUGGUGUACGUUUUCAAGUCGGAGGACUACAUGUACAGACGCACUGCGUUGACCCGGGCUCACCAGUCCCACCAGAGAGUCCACACUCGCCUGCACCGCCGCUUCCAAGGCUUGGUGGACACCUGGGCCAAGGAACACGUGACCAGCGACAUGGCCACCGACACCCGCAAGUGGCUGAUGGGAGAGCGUCGCGAGGGUCUGUUGCCGUGCACCACCACCCGGGAUCCCCAGGUCCUCUAUUACCUGAACAUCAACAGAUACCAUGUGACGUAUCAUGGCAGCUCGUCAGGGGCACCUUAGCUCAACCAGGUGACGAGAUGACGGAAGGGUAUUACUUAUCGUCGUUUUAAUAAAUCAGCUUGGCAGCAAAUUGCUGGAUUCUGGAAACUGCCGGAGAUUACUUUAUAUUUGUUUUUAUAAGGACUUUUUAAAUGGACCCUCCCUAUCUUUGCAGCACAAAAAAAAGCCAAAUUUCCUAUGUGGCCACCAACCAGUUCUCCAUCAGUCCCCUAAACCCCCACCCACCCCUACCGGCCUGUCUUAUGCCACCUUUGAAUACAGCAGAAAAGAUAUGCUGUGACCGAAUACGCUAUGAGUGCAAGAAAGGAAGCCGUUGUAGUUAAACAGCUAUUGAUCCUUGGCUGGACUGAUCCUCAGACUGAUGGAUACUGUUGAGAGCCACGCAGAAAGAACACGCCAUACAGAAUGCUUGGCCUUUUCCCCCCGUUUUGAAGCAAUAUACACCCAUUGAAGUGGUUGAGGAGCACCACACCAUCCGGUGUGCAGGUCUCUAGGUUACGAGCUAAGGGGAACCACAGAAGUCUCUCACAACCACUGUGAGUAGGAAGAUUAGCAUACAGGCAUGUACUAUGAACAUGUAUUUUAUCCAGGCCACAAGAUGGGUUUUGGAUUUUGUAUAAUUGUAUAGCCUGUGAAUGUUUCUUUUUGUCAGUGGUACAGGUAUGUAUGCUAUGUGUCCACAAACAUCUCUGGCAGCCGUGGUGUAGAUAUUGGGCAGAUUUAUGCGAAAAUACCAGGUUUUCCCCCAGUCAGUCAAGUAUAGUAACAUCAGACUACCCACAUACUGCUGAUUUGUAAAUAGCUUGUUGAUAGUUGUCCUUUUUGUCAGAGAUGUGCAUUGAUGUGUACCCUAACAGACUUAGUUUAGACCUCGGGUCAAAAGUUGCUGAAGAGAAAUAGCCUAUAUUGAAAAUGCUCAAUUUUUAACAACUGUUUUUACCAAAGGAACUUUAUUAGAGCCUUUUUCCUUUGUGUUCUGUUUCUUUCGUGUUAUGUCAUGUAAGCCUUCAUUUAGCAAAGUAUAACAUUUUCAUUGUCUUGAAAUUGAUAAUUUUAUACAAAAUGUUUCAAGGCAUUAUUUGUCUAUCUGGUUUUUCACUCAAGUCAUUGGCACCAGUUCCCAUUCGGAAUUUCUGAACAAUGAAUGUAGCCUAGAAACUAUUUCCGCUUUCCCUGUACAUAAUGUAAACGGUUUGUUACCCCCUAAACCAAUUCCCCAUUAAUAUAUCCAUCAGAAUGUCUGGAUCAGUCAUCAUUGGUAACGGGCAGGUUGUUGCGUGUUAAGAUUCCCACUUGGAUCACAGGUUCCUCCUCCAGGGCUACAGUAGAGGGAUCAGUCAUGCCACAUGCAGCAUCCCCAUCUCUACUUUCUGGUAAAUGUCACUUUAAAGAUGACUCAGAGACGUAAGACUCCCGAGUCCGUUUCUGAAGCACAAUCAUGCUCCAUUAAAAUCAGUCCAGAUGAGAUGUAGUUCUGCCUACUUUACAAGGUAUUGAUAAUGUCUCAAUAUAAAAGAACGCUGGUAAAGGCCCCCCAAUUAUAAACAGCACUGUUUUAUAGUGUCAUGUUGUACACUUUCAGAAGGUGCAGGUGUAGACACAUGUACAAUGAUUUGUGAAAUUGUAUUCUGAUCGCCAAAUCUGGUCCAUGUCCAUAAUAAGAUCCACAUUGACAACCAUCUGAGUAUAUGUGAAUGUAUACCAUUCAACCGCUACAGUUUAAUCAUCAUCAUCAACAACCAAGCACACUGCAUUUGACAUGCUCUUCCUUUGUCUUUUUUUUGUAAGAAAUCCUGUCCCCAGAAAGGUUGAGCCUGUAGUGUUUUGGGUUGGUGGUAAUAAUACUUCCAUUUUCCCAGUGUUUCAUCAUCGUCGUAUAUGAAUUUGAGUUUAAUUUUGUGUAACCACAUGUCCCACCACUCGGUACCUCUUCACGCCUGACCAGAACCUUGUCAUCUGGCUCUGUUUCUGUCCAGCAAAGCCUGUCAAUUCUGGAUGUUAAUUCUGAUCUCACAUGAGAACCUGGGCAUUCCCAUUUACAUGAACAAAUGUAAACAGAAACACUUUUGGCUAUGGACAUCAACCAGAUCCUCAGAUCCACUUGACUGAAGUCUUGCUCCUACACUACCGAUGGAACGAUCUCAUGGAAUAGAUCCAAGCCACUACACCAGGGAAUACUUUGGGGAGAGUUGUAGUCGUGGGAGUGUGUGAAGUUGAACUGCCACCAAUUGAUCUGGAAGGAGGACAUUUUAACAACCCAAAUAGGACAAGUUUCCCCAUCAACAUUUGGCCCCACAAGGCUACUCUGUCAGUGCUGUAACCAGCUAAAGACAAUCUCUGGAUGUUUCUAUCUUUAGACUGAUUUUCAUUUUUCUAUUUACUGUGUUGAACAUAUGGAGUACAGGAGGACUACCGGGCAGCUGAAUUGUAUAUACAAACUACAAAGACUACAUUUGUAGCCCAUUUUCUGUGUCCCUUUGUCACCUCUUCUUUGACUUCUAUGAUGUUGUGUAGUAUGGUGUUUGGCAUUAAACUCUUAUUUGAAUAGACUGAA